rnacentral:sRNA from 1 species
ACGAGCUCACAGCCCACCUGGUGUUAAGU